rnacentral:rRNA from 1 species
CACCUAUUGAGGGGGAAACCCCGGGAACUGGGGAUAAUACCCCAUAGACUAUGGAUGCUGGAAUGCUCUGUAGUUGAAAGGUCCGCCGCCAUAGGAUGGGUCUGCGGCCGAUUAGGUUGUUGUUGGGGUAACGGCCCAACAAGCCUGUAAUCGGUACGGGUUGUGGGAGCAAGAGCCCGGAGAUGGAUUCUGAGACACGAAUCCAGGCCCUACGGGGCGCAGCAGGCGCGAAAACUUUACAAUGCGGGAAACCGUGAUAAGGGAACUCCGAGUGCCCGUAAAAUCGGGCUGUCCAUCGGUUUAAAUAACCGGUGAAGAAAGGGCCGGGCAAGACCGGUGCCAGCCGCCGCGGUAAUACCGGCGGCUCGAGUGGUGGCCACUAUUACUGGGCUUAAAGCGUUCGUAGCUGGUCUGUUAAGUCUCUGGGGAAAUCUGCCGGCUUAACCGGCAGGCGUUCCAGGGAUACUGGCAGACUAGGGACCGGGAGAGGUGAGGGGUACUCCAGGGGUAGGAGUGAAAUCCUGUAAUCCUUGGGGGACCACCUGUGGCGAAGGCGCCUCACCAGAACGGCUCCGACAGUGAGGGACGAAAGCUGGGGGAGCAAACCGGAUUAGAUACCCGGGUAGUCCCAGCUGUAAACGAUGCGCGUUAGGUGUAUCGGUGACCACGAGUCACCGAGGUGCCGAAGAGAAAUCGUGAAACGUGCCGCCUGGGAAGUACGGUCGCAAGGCUGAAACUUAAAGGAAUUGGCGGGGGAGCAC